rnacentral:rRNA from 1 species
UACGUAGGGGGCAAGCGUUGUCCGGAAUCAUUGGGCGUAAAGCGCGUGUAGGCGGUUCGAUAAGUCUGCUGUGAAAGUCCAGGGCUCAACCCUGGGAUGCCGGUGGAUACUGUCGGACUAGAGUACGGAAGAGGCGAGUGGAAUUCCCGGUGUAGCGGUGAAAUGCGCAGAUAUCGGGAAGAACACCCAUGGCGAAGGCAGCUCUCUGGGACGGUACUGACGCUGAGACGCGAAAGCGUGGGGAGCGAACAGG